rnacentral:lncRNA from 1 species
GAGAGAGAGAGAGAGUCUUUAACCUUAAAUUUUCAAUACUAGAAAUUGAGUCAUUAGACCUGCAAUUUAUAAAUCUUUUGAUUGUAGUCUUUAGAAGGAUCAAUAUAGGAGGGAAAUAUUUGGAAUUGAGUUGAAGAAAUUUUGAUCAUUCUUAGGCAUUUGAAAUUUGAAAUUUGUUUAGAGUACUUUUAAAAAUGGAUUAGUAGCUUUCUUUUGGUAUGAAAUAUUGGAUGUACAUUGGCAUGUUUAUAUGUUUAUUAUGUAGUUGUCUUUCCAUGAAUAGUACAAAGUUUGAAACAUAUGGUUUUUCAUUUUUUGAAUGAUUCAUGCUAAGCUUUUUUGAACAAAAUUUUCCAGCUUUAUUUAUUUUUGUUUUUGUGGUAGAUUUUGUUGCCUUCUUGGGAUUAAGUUCCUUCAUAA